GGCUCGAUGGGGGAAUUGGUAGACCCGACAGACUUAAAAUCUGUUGCUCAGUGAUGGGCGUGCAAGUUCGAUUCUUGUUCGAGCUA
rnacentral:tRNA from 1 species